GCCCCCAUUGUCUAAUGGUUAUGACGUCAGACUUCUACCUUAUCAGUGAUCUGGAGGUUGUGGGUUCGAGUCCCACUGGGGGCU